GCUGGGCGUGGUGGCUCACGCCCGUAAUCCCAACACUCUGGGAGGCUGAGGCAGGUGGAUCACCUGAGGUCAGGAGUUGGAAACCAGCCUGGCCAACAUGGUGAAACCCUGUCUCUA
rnacentral:SRP_RNA from 1 species